GAGUUUGAUCAUGGCUCAGGAUGAACGCUAGCGGCAGGCUUAACACAUGCAAGUCGAGGGGUAACAUUGUGCUUGCACAGAUGACGACCGGCGCACGGGUGCGUAACGCGUAUAGAACCUACCUUUUACAGAGGAAUAGCCUUUAGAAAUGAAGAUUAAUGCCUCAUAGUAUUGUAGACUGGCAUCAGUUUAUAAUUAAAGAUUUAUCGGUAAAAGAUGGCUAUGCGUCCUAUUAGUUAGUUGGUAAGGUAACGGCUUACCAAGACAGCGAUAGGUAGGGGUCCUGAGAGGGAGAUCCCCCACACUGGUACUGAGACACGGACCAGACUCCUACGGGAGGCAGCAGUGAGGAAUAUUGGACAAUGGAGGAGACUCUGAUCCAGCCAUGCCGCGUGUAGGAAGAAUGCCCUAUGGGUUGUAAACUACUUUUAUACAGGAAGAAACACUGGUAUGUAUACCAG
rnacentral:rRNA from 1 species